rfam:Citrus sinensis cultivar Ridge Pineapple sweet orange scaffold00011_contig_150, whole genome shotgun sequence.
AUACCAUGAUAAGGACAUCUCCUGAAUAGCUACUUAAAUCUUUCCCAUGCAUCAUACAAACUCUCAUCUUCAAGUUAAUAGAAAUAUGUGAUCUUGUUCCUCAGUUU